UUUCGAGAUGCGACUUCGGCCUCGCUACACCAUCCGUUGCAACAACGAUAGGUGCGAUAAAUGCAAUUAUUUACGCUCGAUUAAGAACACACUUCGUCGAAAGCGCGAAGGGCCGCGAGGCGAACGAGAGCAAAGAUCAGAGGGAUGAGAGUAUUGUGCGAUGGGGACGAACGAGAGUAAGUAAGAAGCCGCCGUCCUCCUUCUCGAAGUCUCCAUACCGUCGUUAUACCGUUCUUUUACACCUUGCACGAGCAACGAUUUCCGAUGGUAUCGUAUUCGAACGUAGCUUCCAACGGUGGUCCAUACCGAAUUUCAUUGGCGUGUGGGAAUUGAUGCAUCGCCAUGUACAAGAAUAAUUCACUAUCGUCUGUCUCUUCGCGUCGAAGUCCUGCUUAAGAAAUAUUCCAGUCGCGACCCACACACAAUGCUGCUGAGAAAAGCAGCGCGUUUACGAGAGAAGGGGGACAGUCGUGUGUACUUACUUACAACGAGUUAUAAGAGACG